rnacentral:misc_RNA from 1 species
UGUGGGAGCUGGCUUGCCUGCGAUAGCGGUGUAUCAGCUACCCAUCUGCCAACUGACCCACCGCCAUCGCAGGCAAGCCAGCUCCCACA